rnacentral:rRNA from 1 species
GAGUUUGAUUAUGGCUCAGGAUGAACGCUGGCGGCGUGCCUAACACAUGCAAGUCGAACGGAGAGUGUGAACGGAAGUUUUCGGACGGAAGUUCAUACUUCUUAGUGGCGGACGGGUGAGUAACGCGUGGGCAACCUGCCUCAUACAGGGGGAUAGCAGAUAGAAAUGUCUGAUAAGACCGCAUAAGUCCUUUGUUUCGCAUGAAACGGAGGGGAAAAGAGCAAUCUGGUAUGAGAUGGGCCCGCGUCCGAUUAGCUGGUUGGUGAGGUAACGGCUCACCAAGGCGACGAUCGGUAGCCGGACUGAGAGGUCGGACGGCCACAUUGGGACUGAGACACGGCCCAAACUCCUACGGGAGGCAGCAGUGGGGGAUAUUGCACAAUGGAGGAAACUCUGAUGCAGCGACGCCGCGUGAGUGAAGAAGUAUUUCGGUAUGUAAAGCUCUAUCAGCAGGGAAGAUGAUGACG